rnacentral:ncRNA from 1 species
GAAUAUCUUGGGCAAACCUAUCGAAAGAUGGAGACGCAAAGCCAGAGUCUAAAAUUACUAGAAAUAGUAAUCAUGAUCGUUCGGCUGCAUAA